rnacentral:rRNA from 1 species
UGGUGGAGUGAUUUGUCUGGUUAAUUCCGUUAACGAACGAGACCUCAGCCUGCUAAAUAGUGUGCCUUUUCUCACGAAAGGGUUCUUACUUCUUAGAGGGACAUUUCGGUUUCACCGGAAGGAAGUUUGAGGCAAUAACA